CAAAAACAUUGCUUCAUGAAAUUUAAUAUGAAGUAAUUCCUGCCCAGUGAUUAAACGGCCGCGGUAUCCUAACCGUGCAAAGGUAGCAUAAUAACUUGCCCAUUAAUUGUGGGCUUGAAUGAACGGAAUAACGAAAUAAGAGCUGUCUCUAUGAUUCCUAUAAAAAUUAAUCCUCAAUUGAAGAUCAUUGAAUUAUGUUGAAGGACAAGAAGACCCUAUAGAGCUUUAUUAUUCCCGGUAAAUAACCCUACAUAAUUCGGUUGGGGCGACCUGGGAAAUUUAUAAUCAUCCCAUAAAUAAAGACCUAUAAGUCAUAUAUUUGACCCUUAUUAAAGAUCACAAGAACAAGCUACCUUAGGGAUAACAGGCUAAUCCCAUUAGAAAGUCCUUAUUUAUAAUGGGGUUUGGCACCUCGAUGUUGGCUUAGGGAAUCCAUGAGACGUAAAAGUCACAUAAAGAUGGUUUGUUCAACCAAUAAUACCCUACAUGAUCU
rnacentral:rRNA from 1 species